GGAACAACACAGGGAAACUUGUGCUAAUACCGGAUAAGCCCUUACGGGGAAAGAUUUAUCGCCGAAAGAUCGGCCCGCGUCUGAUUAGCUAGUUGGUGAGGUAAUGGCUCACCAAGGCGACGAUCAGUAGCUGGUCUGAGAGGAUGAUCAGCCACAUUGGGACUGAGACACGGCCCAAACUCCUACGGGAGGCAGCAGUGGGGAAUAUUGGACAAUGGGGGCAACCCUGAUCCAGCCAUGCCGCGUGAGUGAUGAAGGCCCUAGGGUUGUAAAGCUCUUUUGUGCGGGAAGAUAAUGACGGUACCGCAAGAAUAAGCCCCGGCUAACUUCGUGCCAGCAGCCGCGGUAAUACGAAGGGGGCUAGCGUUGCUCGGAAUCACUGGGCGUAAAGGGUGCGUAGGCGGGUCUUUAAGUCAGGGGUGAAAUCCUGGAGCUCAACUCCAGAACUGCCUUUGAUACUGAAGAUCUUGAGUUCGGGAGAGGUGAGUGGAACUGCGAGUGUAGAGGUGAAAUUCGUAGAUAUUCGCAAGAACACCAGUGGCGAAGGCGGCUC
rnacentral:rRNA from 1 species